UGGGGAAUAUUGCACAAUGGGCGCAAGCCUGAUGCAGCCAUGCCGCGUGUAUGAAGAAGGCCUUCGGGUUGUAAAGUACUUUCAGCGGGGAGGAAGGGAGUAAAGUUAAUACCUUUACUCAUUGACGUUACCGACAGAAGAAGCACCGGCUAACUCCGUGCCAGCAGCCGCGGUAAUACGGAGGGUGCAAGCGUUAAUCGGAAUUACUGGGCGUAAAGCGCACGCAGGCGGUUGAUUGAGUCAGAUGUGAAAUCCCCGGGCUUAACCCGGGAAUUGCAUCUGAUACUGGUCAGCUAGAGUCUUGUAGAGGGGGGUAGAAUUCCAUGUGUAGCGGUGAAAUGCGUAGAGAUGUGGAGGAAUACCGGUGGCGAAGGCGGCCCCCUGGACAAAGACUGACGCUCAGGUGCGAAAGCGUGGGGAGCAAACAGG
rnacentral:rRNA from 1 species